UCACUCGUGAGCAGCUAGCUAGUUCAUCAUGGCCAAGCCGACGGUGCCUCGGAUGAAGCUGGGCUCGCAGGGGCUGGAGGUCUCCGCGCAGGGCCUCGGCUGCAUGGGCAUGUCCGCCAACUACGGCCCGGCGAAGCCGGACGAUGACAUGCUCGCGCUCCUCCGCCACGCCUUCGCCGCCGGCGUCACUCUCCUUGACACCUCCGACGCCUACGGCCCCUUCACCAACGAGCUCCUUCUCGGAAAGGCGCUCCAGGGAGGGUUGUUGGCGACCGGUGGGGCGGGAGUGCAGGUGGCCACCAAGUUCGGGGUCAAGUUCACCGAGGCGCCGCCGGGGUGGGAGUUCUGCGGCUCGCCGGCGUACGUCCGGCAGGCGUGCGAGGCCAGCCUGCGGCGCCUUGGAGUCGACUGCAUCGAUCUCUACUACCAGCACCGCAUCGACACCCGUCUGCCCAUCGAGAUCACGAUCAGCCUUGUUCCUGAGUCCAGUUCAGAUGUCCUCGCGGCUUUGUUGUGCCAUUAGAUGGGCGAGCUGAAGAAGCUGGUGGGGGAGGGCAAGAUAAAGUACGUCGGCUUGUCGGAGGCCUCCGCUUCCACCAUAAGAAGAGCCCACGCCGUCCAUCCCAUCACCGCCGUGCAGCUCGAGUGGUCUCUCUGGACCAGAGACUCUGAAGAGGAGAUCAUCCCUACCUGCAGGGAGCUUGGCAUCGGCAUAGUGGCAUACAGUCCCCUUGGCAGGGGAUUCUUCGGUUCAGGAGCAAAGUCCGCAGAUAAUUUCUCAGAACGCGAUAUCCGCAAGAAUCUGCCUCGUUUCCAGGCCGAGAACCUGGAGCACAACCAGCGGAUCUUCGAGAGGGUGAACGAGAUGGCGACGAGGAAAGGAUGCACGCCGUCGCAGCUCGCUCUGGCCUGGGUUCACCACCAGGGACCAGACGUGUGCCCGAUCCCGGGGACUACCAAGAUGGACAACUUCGACAGCAACCUCGCGGCGCUCGCACUCAGGCUUACGCCGGAGGAGAUGGCUGAGCUAGAAUCUUACGCUGCCGCAGACGCUGUCAAAGGGUUCAGGACCUACAAUGCAGCUAACACGUGGAUGAGCUCGGAUACUCCUCCGCUCGAGUCGUUCAAGGGAGAGUGACCGACUAAUUGUGUCACCUCACUUGUAUGGUUGGAUUCCCCUUUAACAUUUGUGUACGAGUAGUUCAGUGUGGGGAGUAGUAGCCCUGCUUCUGUUCUUGUGUGCGCCACCGUCUACACUUUUCUUGGAGUCUUCUUUCCUUGUGAUGCUUUUAUACCUUUCUCCACCGUAUGUUGAAAUUUAAUAAAGCUCCAAAAUCGUACCAUAUGCGUUUAUAAAA